rnacentral:ncRNA from 1 species
UGAAUAAAUUCCGAGUAUCUGUCUCUAAAGCAACUCCGGCUCCAAAGCUGCUGCGACAGCCAUGAGACAUAUACCGAUGGGUGUUCAGGGAAACCUCAGCGCCUCCCGUGUUUGGAAAGGAAUGAUGA